rnacentral:lncRNA from 1 species
CUUGAGUGAAUAAAGGCUUGUCACUUGUGUUCUCCACUUUCUGUGGAUUUGACAUGCUCUGUGUGCAGUAACUAAAGACAUUGUAAGAAACAAUUAAAGUCUGGAUGUGAUGUUGAAACUCUGUUUGGGUUUCAGAUGUUGUAGCUCCGAUUUCUACAGAUGGACCAUUUAGUUCAUUUCAGGGCUGGCCUUCAGAGUUUGCUUUGUGCUGCAGUCUGCCUAACAAUGAGCAAGGACACAUGGGUUUCACUGAAGAAUGGUCGGAUAGUGAACAGAGUUUGAACUCAAGCAUUGGAGGGCUGGCAGAAUUAGACUACGAAAAUGCAACCCAGUGCUGCAUGUGGCCUGACAAAAAUCGUACAAGAUCUCAGAGUGAAGACAAGGAAGCUGAAGUUUUCUGUUUGAACAUCCUGUGCUGGGUUGAUGGAAACCUGGAACAUUUAAUUUGUAAUCUGAAGCCACACACAAAAUAUCCAGACAGGAGCAGGUUCCUUACAAUUAGGCUGCGGUAUUCAUUGUAAGUAUUGGGUUUCUGUCUGGCUCUUCAUUUUCUGGGUAAUAUUUCCUUUUAAUAUGUUCACUUUACCUU